rnacentral:rRNA from 1 species
UACGUAGGGUGCGAGCGUUGCCCGGAUUUAUUGGGCGUAAAGCGCACGUAGGCGGCUUUUUAAGUCAGGGGUGAAAUCCUGGAGCUCAACUCCAGAACUGCCUUUGAUACUGAGAAGCUUGAGUCCGGGAGAGGUGAGUGGAACUGCGAGUGUAGAGGUGAAAUUCGUAGAUAUUCGCAAGAACACCAGUGGCGAAGGCGGCUCACUGGCCCGGUACUGACGCUGAGGUGCGAAAGCGUGGGGAGCAAACAGG